rnacentral:rRNA from 1 species
GACGAACGCUGGCGGCGUGCUUAACACAUGCAAGUCGAACGGAAAGGCCCUGCUUUUGUGGGGUGCUCGAGUGGCGAACGGGUGAGUAACACGUGAGUAACCUGCCCUUGACUUUGGGAUAACUUCAGGAAACUGGGGCUAAUACCGGAUAGGAGCUCCUGCUGCAUGGUGGGGGUUGGAAAGUUUCGGCGGUUGGGGAUGGACUCGCGGCUUAUCAGCUUGUUGGUGGGGUAGUGGCUUACCAAGGCUUUGACGGGUAGCCGGCCUGAGAGGGUGACCGGCCACAUUGGGACUGAGAUACGGCCCAGACUCCUACGGGAGGCAGCAGUGGGGAAUAUUGCACAAUGGGCGGAAGCCUGAUGCAGCAACGCCGCGUGCGGGAUGACGGCCUUCGGGUUGUAAACCGCUUUCGCCUGUGACGAAGCGUGAGUGACGGUAAUGGGUGAAGAAGCACCGGCUAACUACGUGCCAGCAGCCGCGGUGAUACGUAGGGUGCGAGCGUUGUCCGGAUUUAUUGGGCGUAAAGGGCUCGUAGGUGGUUGAUCGCGUCGGAAGUGUAAUCUUGGGGCUUAACCCUGAGCGUGCUUUCGAUACGGGUUGACUUGAGGAAGGUAGGGGAGAAUGGAAUUCCUGGUGGAGCGGUGGAAUGCGCAGAUAUCAGGAGGAACACCAGUGGCGAAGGCGGUUCUCUGGGCCUUUCCUGACGCUGAGGAGCGAAAGCGUGGGGAGCGAACAGGCUUAGAUACCCUGGUAGUCCACGCUGUAAACGGUGGGUACUAGGUGUGGGGUCCAUUCCACGGGUUCCGUGCCGUAGCUAACGCUUUAAGUACCCCGCCUGGGGAGUACGGCCGCAGGGCUAAAACUCAAAGGAAUUGACGGGGCCCCGCACAAGCGGCGGAGCAUGCGGAUUAAUUCGAUGCAACGCGUAGAACCUUACCUGGGUUUGACAUGGAUCGGGAGUGCUCAGAGAUGGGUGUGCCUCUUUUGGGGUCGGUUCACAGGUGGUGCAUGGCUGUCGUCAGCUCGUGUCGUGAGAUGUUGGGUUAAGUCCCGCAACGAGCGCAACCCUUGUUCACUGUUGCCAGCACGUUAUGGUGGGGACUCAGUGGAGACCGCCGGGGUCAACUCGGAGGAAGGUGGGGAUGACGUCAAGUCAUCAUGCCCCUUAUGUCCAGGGCUUCACGCAUGCUACAAUGGCUGGUACAGAGAGUGGCGAGCCUGUGAGGGUGAGCGAAUCUCGGAAAGCCGGUCUCAGUUCGGAUUGGGGUCUGCAACUCGACCUCAUGAAGUCGGAGUCACUAGUAAUCGCAGAUCAGCAACGCUGCGGUGAAUACGUUCCCGGGGCU